rnacentral:rRNA from 1 species
UACGGAAGGCAGCAGUGGGGAAUAUUGCACAAUGGGCGCAAGCCUGAUGCAGCCAUGCCGCGUGUAUGAAAAAGGCCUUCGGGUUGUAAAGUACUUUCAGUCGUGAGGAAGGUGUUAAGGUUAAUAACCUUAGCAAUUGACGUUAGCGACAGAAGAAGCACCGGCUAACUCCGUGCCAGCAGCCGCGGUAAUACGGAGGGUGCGAGCGUUAAUCGGAAUUACUGGGCGUAAAGGGCACGCAGGCGGUUAAUUAAGUUGGAUGUGAAAUCCCCGGGCUUAACCUGGGAAUGGCAUUCAAGACUGGUUAGCUAGAGUCUUGUAGAGGGGGUAGAAUUCCAUGUGUAGCGGUGAAAUGCGUAGAGAUGUGGAGGAAUACCGGUGGCGAAGGCGGCCCCGUGGACAAAGACUGACGCUCAUGUGCGAAAGCGUGGGGAGCGAAACAGGGAAUUAGAUACCCGU